rnacentral:lncRNA from 1 species
CAGAAUACAGUGCAUUGUAUAGUCACUAGUUUUUGUAGAAAAGUGAGAACAUGUGUCCACAUAUGUUUAUAGAUGCAUUGGAUAUCUUGAAAGACAUAUCCCAAAUUGGUAGCAUGCUCUACUCCAGAGAGAGACACUGAGGGACUGAGGAGUGGGGAUCAAGUAGAAGGAGAACUUUCUACCUUUCUCACCUUUAGAAGUAGGUGCCAUGUGUGUGCUGUUACACCGAGCCAAUUAAAAUAAGAUAAAUAAAAAGCUGUUUUAAGAAGAGUAUAUAGAAGCUGCAGUCAGGCAUUAUGUACAUUAUCUGAAUGUGCUCAUAACAUGUUUUGAGUAUACGUUCUGACACACUCAGACUCUGUAACACUCCCUUGCCCCCAUUGCUGGCCCAGGAUUUGGGGAAAGACACCAGACUUGCCUCUGAAAUUUGAUGUGGUAAUUACCAACAUUUGUUGUGGCGUCUCCCCUUUGCCAGCUUAGUUUCAAUCAAACUGGGCACUAGCUCUCAAAUUAUCAUACAAGUCUUUCCAGAACAGUGCCGCUCAGUGUCUUUAUUUUGUGGCUGGAAGGAGGGGCAGACAGAGCAGGGUGCUCCGUUUCCAUAGUGCCCUGUAGCACUUUAACCACCUUGGAUCUGCGUAAUCCCCUUGAACUGAAAAGAAAUGUCAAGUGAGGAGCAGUGUGGUGUCACAAGGGUCCCUGGCUAGAAGGAUACCUGUUAUCUAUACUCACUUGAGCCCACCCUCUACUCCCCUACCCAUCAGACCUCAGUUUCCCCAUGAGAACAGUGGAGGAGGGGAGUGGGAUGCAACUCUGGCAUCUGAGGAGCCUACAACUCACCCCUGGAGGAAUGCCCAGGUCCUAAUGCAUUAGAUCAUCUUGGAGGAGAACCCAAGGGUGCUGUAAAAGCCAUAUUGGAUGUCCCAGAGAAUAGAAUUAGUUCUUCUCCCCUGGACUCCUGGCCAGUGCUUCCUCUGGUCAUCCAUUCCUUCAGCCUGCUAAGGUAGGCUUUGUAAUCACCUGGGUCCAGGUUUCAGUGCUCUUCUGUGUGACCUAGGCAUAAGGAGAUGACUGUAUCUCUUUGAGCCUCAGUUACUCCCUCCUGUUAGGUGCUAUUAGGGGGGCUCACUGAGAUAACUGGGUACUCUGAUUGUACCCAGCUGGUGUCAUCCAGGAUGGCUCUGCCUCUCCGGCCCUCCUGCUCCA